rnacentral:rRNA from 1 species
AACGAACGCUGGCGGCAGGCUUAACACAUGCAAGUCGAACGCACUCUUCGGAGUGAGUGGCAGACGGGUGAGUAACGCGUGGGAAUCUACCUAGUGGUGGGGAAUAACUUCGGGAAACCGGAGCUAAUACCCCAUAAGCCCUUCGGGGGAAAGUUUAUCGCCAUUAGAUGAGCCCGCGUUAGAUUAGCUAGUUGGUAGGGUAAUGGCCUACCAAGGCGACGAUCUAUAGCUGGUCUGAGAGGAUGAUCAGCCACACUGGGACUGAGACACGGCCCAGACUCCUACGGGAGGCAGCAGUGGGGAAUAUUGCACAAUGGGCGAAAGCCUGAUGCAGCCAUGCCGCGUGUGUGAUGAAGGCCUUAGGGUUGUAAAACACUUUCAUCGGUGAAGAUAAUGACGGUAGCCGAAGAAGAAGCCCCGGCUAACUCCGUG